GAUGAACGCUGGCGGCGUGCCUAAUACGUGCAAGUCGAGCGAACGGACGAGAAGCUUGCUUCUCUGAUGUUAGCGGCGGACGGGUGAGUAACACGUGGAUAACCUACCUAUAAGACUGGGAUAACUUCGGGAAACCGGAGCUAAUACCGGAUGAUAUUUUGAACCGCAUGGUUCAAAAGUGAAAGACGGUCUUGCUGUCACUUAUAGAUGGAUCCGCGCUGCAUUAGCUAGUUGGUAAGGUAACGGCUUACCAAGGCAACGAUGCAUAGCCGACCUGAGAGGGUGAUCGGCGACACUGGAACUGAGACACGGUCCAGGCUCCUACGGGAGGCAGCAGUAGGGAAUCUUCCGCAAUGGGCGAAAGCCUGACGGAGCAACGCCGCGUGAGUGAUGAAGGUCUUCGGAUCGUAAAACUCUGUUAUUAGGGAAGAACAUAUGUGUAAGUAACUGUGCACAUCUUGACGGUACCUAAUCAGAAAGCCACGGCUAACUACGUG
rnacentral:rRNA from 1 species